rnacentral:lncRNA from 1 species
GUCCACAGAUUCCUCCUUGCAUCCUAAAUUCCAAGUGGCUUCAAAUAUACCCAGAGAAACCAGUUCCCUAGUGCCUAAAGAGCCUACAAGGAACUUACCUUUUCAAAUGUGUCAGAGUCCUCUAGAAACCCCAACACUUCCACUGCAAUCAGGUCAUUCAGUCCAUGAAAGGGACCUACAUCAGCAAGAGUCCCAAGAACCAUCCAGAAACUCAGGU